CCCCUUUUCUCUAUGCAAAAUGGCAGCACUUAAUCCCUUGACCCACCUCUCUUGUGUGCACAUUUACUCCAUCUUUUAAAUGGCAUACAUGCACACAACAAACAGCCAUUCCUCCUCUCAUUUUCUCACGCAUAAAACCAGCAGCCCACACCUCUUAUCCUCUCUUAACUCCAUUCUUUCACUCACCCAUUUUAAUUCUCAUCAAGUGCAUGCACCCAUGCAGCAACCCAC
rnacentral:lncRNA from 1 species